GAUUCCAUAGCAAGAAAACAGCAUGUGCUAUUGGUUUGGGGGUUGGCAGCAGGUGGAAUCAGAAGUGUCUUGAGGAGAGUGUUAGUGAAAUAGCCCAAAAGCCAAUGAGGAGGCUGUUGGUGAAGGUUUUAAGGAAAAUGAAGGAAAUGUUAUUGGAAGCUGAAAGAACUGGGACUCAUCAUGCAGUGGUAGAAGUGUUGGCAACCUGUCUUCUGCAGUAAAUGUGGUAAACAGGAAAUGAAUCUAACAAACUCAAUGAUCGAGGAGAAUAUCGAAAAUUCCACCUAGCCACUUCUUGCCAGCUAAGAUAAAAAUGCAAGAGAAGGGAGAGUACAGUUCCCAGGUCUUCAGAUUAGCAGAACUAUGCUCAAGGAGUUGUCUCCAAGGAGCCUCACCUGCACCUAGGCCUGCUUUAGCUGAUGAAACUCUGGGCUUUGAGCCUGAGACCAAUUCUGCAACGGGAUAAAGCAUUUCGGGUCUUGAAAGAUGGUGAGUAUACUUUACAUGUGGGGAGAAUGUAAGCAAUUUGUGACCAGAGGCAUGCUGUGGCAGUUUAAAAGCAUGACUCCAAAAUGCUUUAUUACUCCUCCCAUUGAGAAGGAGGUUUAUGUUUUUUUCUCCUUAAAUUCAGGCUCUUCGAUAGCUUGACCAAAAGUAAAUGGCUGAAGCGAUUCUCCACCAGUUUCUGGAGCCAGGGCAUUAAAAAUGGUGGAUUUGAGUUCUUGUAUUUCGUGAUUGCCCCUGGGACCUAACUACCACGCUGUGAGAAGAGAAGACCCAGCAGCCCGUGGGGAGGCCCAUAUAAGAGGAAGCCAAGCCCUCAGCCAUCAAUCAGCACUAAUUUCCUAGUGCUGUGAGUGACCUGCUUUGGAAGUAGAUCCUGCAGUCCACAAAUGUUUAUGGUGUGGAGAAGUGAAGAACUGAUCUUGCUGAGUCCUGCUCAAAUUGCAUGGGCAAGGACUCUGGUGUACUCUGAUGUGCCUGCACAUUAAAACAGCAUGAAGCUACUGCGGUGGGUAUACAGAGAGCGGAAGAUUAGCCCUGAGCUAACAUCCCUGCCCAUCCUCCUCUACCCUAUAUGUAGGACGCCUACCACAGCAUGGCUUGACAAGCAGUGCCCAGGUCUGCACCCGGGACCCGAACUGGUGAACCCUGGGCCACCAAAGCAGAAUUAUGUGAAUGUAACUGCUGUGCCACCAGGCCGGCCCCUGUGUGUGUCUUUUUCUUAAUCAUUGUUAUGUUUUGAAACGUCUUGACUUUUCCAUGAUCAGUUACAUAUUAAAUUAUAUUUUCUUUCCAUAAUGUUUUAUGGUGUCUCUCUUUCACAUUUCACUUUUAAUUCAACUGGAACUUAUUUUAUCAUGUGUUGAGGUGAACAAUUGACUUGAUUUUUUUUCUUAACUCCCAGGUAGCCAUUUUUCUCUACAUAAUAGCUUAAAUAGCUAACAUCAUAUAUUGGCAUAUGUGUACACUUUAACACAUGCUCAGUUUGUAUGUAGAUUUCUUCUCAGAGCUGUCUGUUCUGCUACACUGAUCUAUCAUUUAUUGUGCCAGUUCCACAUCUUUAAUUACUAUAGACUUAUGAUGUUAUUUAAGAGCUGACAAUGCAUGUACCGUCUUAUUCAUCUUUGUUUUUAACACUCUUAUUUAUUUCCCUCCUUUAAUUCAUCAAAAUGGACUUUAGAACCCUAAUUUUUAUGUUUUCUUAAAAUCUCAUCAUGUUUUCUAUCAUAGUAUAAUUAAAACCUAUAAAUUGUGCAGGAAAAAUUCUUUUUACAUUAGUCAGUUUUUAUAUCCAGGAAUAUUGAAGAGACCUCAAUUUAUUCAACUUCUUAUGGCUUUUACAAGCAAUUUUAGAGAUGUAUUUUUAUAGUCCUAUACAAUCUGUGUAAAUUAUACUAUUCUAUAUAUAAAUUACAUAUGUAUUUAAUAAUUAUAAUAAUAGAAUUCUUAUUCAUUUUAGUCUACUUAUUGUGGCAAAAACUGAAAAACAAAAAUGUGUUUAUCGCUCUAUAAUUUUGUUUCUCUAGGCUUCUCUUUAUACUUUUAGAUGUUUUACCAUUGUAAGUUUAGAUAUAUCACAUGAAGACUCAUGAUUAUUAAACUCCUAAUAUGGAUCCAGUUUUUUUGGUAAUAUGACAGUAUUUUAUGUUUCUCCUUUUCUUAAAUACUUACAAAAAGAAUAAAUAUAUCUACCCUCAUUAUCAAAACGUUGAGCUCAAUUUCUGAAAUUUUGGGCAAUUUCUUUCUAGUUUCCUUUCUGUUACUAAACAGAUUGUAUUUUAUUUGUCUUAAGUUUCACAGUUAUUUUGGGUGGUAAAAUAUUAUUUUAAAUUCUUAGAGCAGUUCCCUUUGUUUAUUAAAUAAAUACAUCAGUCGUUCUCCACUAUAGAAAUGGUUUCGUGGGUUUGUGUUGUAUUGUGUUGUUGAGUUGUUCCCUAUAAUAUCACCAAUUCUACUGC
ensembl:lncRNA